GUUCUUAUCCCGGACCACUCGCCCCAGGGUGUUCUGGGAUAGAUGUCUCAUGGGGGGAGUGUGCCACUCAUUUGCUGACACAAGCACAAGAUGACAAGGCCUGGACCAUUUUAAACUCUCUGCCAGAUUUGGAUCCUGAGGGUCUUUGGACUUUGCUUCGCAAAUAUGAGCGUGAACUUCACAGACCCAGUUUCCACAACCUGCGUGAAGUUUUGCUGUCACAUGUACCAGCACACGCCAGCAGAGGCACCAGCGCCAUGAACACUCACACUGAGAGAGAGAGAAGACUCAACAGGGACAAGAAGAGCCAUCAGAUGGUGAAAAACAAGAACUCUGCACUGGUAUAUGACAAACAUUUAUAUGCCGGACAAUUAAUAUAAUGCCUUAAAAAUUAAGCAUUAAACAG
ensembl:lncRNA